rnacentral:rRNA from 2 species
UACACAUGCAGUCGAACGGUGAAAGAAGAGCUUGCUCUUCUGGAUCAGUGGCGAACGGGUGAGUAACACGUGAGUAACCUGCCCCAGACUCUGGGAUAAGCACUGGAAACGGUGUCUAAUACCGGAUACGAGCUUCAACCGCAUGGUUAGGAGCUGGAAAGAAUUUCGGUCUGGGAUGGACUCGCGGCCUAUCAGCUAGUUGGUGAGGUAACGGCCCACCAAGGCGACGACGGGUAGCCGGCCUGAGAGGGUGACCGGCCACACUGGGACUGAGACACGGCCCAGACUCCUACGGGAGGCAGCAGUGGGGAAUAUUGCACAAUGGGCGCAAGCCUGAUGCAGCAACGCCGCGUGAGGGACGACGGCCUUCGGGUUGUAAACCUCUUUUAGUAGGGAAGAAGCGAAAGUGACGGUACCUGCAGAAAAAGCACCGGCUAACUACGUGCCAGCAGCCGCGGUAAUACGUAGGGUGCAAGCGUUAUCCGGAAUUAUUGGGCGUAAAGAGCUCGUAGGCGGUUUGUCGCGUCUGCUGUGAAAACUGGAGGCUCAACCUCCAGCCUGCAGUGGGUACGGGCAGACUAGAGUGCGGUAGGGGAGAUUGGAAUUCCUGGUGUAGCGGUGGAAUGCGCAGAUAUCAGGAGGAACACCGAUGGCGAAGGCAGAUCUCUGGGCCGUAACUGACGCUGAGGAGCGAAAGCAUGGGGAGCGAACAGGAUUAGAUACCCUGGUAGUCCAUGCCGUA